rnacentral:rRNA from 1 species
AUACGGAGGAUCCGAGCGUUAUCCGGAUUUAUUGGGUUUAAAGGGAGCGUAGGUGGACAGUUAAGUCAGUUGUGAAAGUUUGCGGCUCAACCGUAAAAUUGCAGUUGAUACUGGCUGUCUUGAGUACAGUAGAGGUGGGUGGAAUUCGUGGUGUAGCGGGUAAAUGCUUAGAUAUCACGAAGAACUCCGAUUGCGAAGGCAGCUCACUGGACUGCAACUGACACUGAUGCUCGAAAGUGUGGGUAUCAAACAGGAUUAGAUACCCUGGUAGUCCACACAGUAAACGAUGAAUACUCGCUGUUUGCGAUAUACAGUAAGCGGCCAAGCGAAAGCAUUAAGUAUUCCACCUGGGGAGUACGCCGGCAACGGUGAAACUCAAAUGAAUUGACGGGG